AGAACGAACGCUGGCGGCAUGCCUAACACAUGCAAGUCGAACGGAUUGUAGCAAUACAAUCAGUGGCGAACGGGUGAAUAACGCGUGGGAACCUACCUCGGAGUUCGGAAUAACCGCGGGAAACUGCGGCUAAUACCGGAUACGGCCUGAGGGCGAAAGGAGCAAUUCGCUCCGGGAGGGGCCCGCGUCCGAUUAGCUAGUUGGUGGGGUAAUGGCCUACCAAGGCGAUGAUCGGUAGCUGGUCUGAGAGGAUGAUCAGCCACACUGGAACUGAGACACGGUCCAGACUCCUACGGGAGGCAGCAGUGGGGAAUAUUGGACAAUGGGGGCAACCCUGAUCCAGCAAUGCCGCGUGGGUGAGUGAAGGCCUUCGGGUUGUAAAGCCCUUUUGGCGGGGAAGAUAAUGAACGGUCCCGACAGAAGAAGCCCCGGCUAACGUCGUGCCAGCAGCCGC
rnacentral:rRNA from 1 species